rnacentral:lncRNA from 1 species
AUAUAUAUAUAUAUAUAUAUAUAUAUAUAUAGGUAUAUAGAGUCCGGCUACUAUACUAUUAUGAGUAUGAUCGCCCUUGUAUUUGUAAGUUAUUUUCGAUGAUAAAGCUUCCGAAUCGACGAUCCACACCGUUAAACAUUAUUUACAGUAUUUAAAACUUCUAAAAAUCAAAUUUUAUAAUUUUUCGACAUCAUUUACCUUACGAUCAAGAGGUCACAAAUUUGACAAUUUUAAUUAACGGCCGGUAUCAGAUACUUGCUAGUUUAACGGUGUAAAAAAAUUAGAAUUUGUUGAAUUUUUGAUAGAAAAUUUUAUUCACUACAUAGAUAAAGAUCAAUAACUCUGAUCUUUAAUUGAAGGAUCCGAUCAUCCUUUUUUAGGACGUCAUUCGAUUUUGAUCAUUCAUUUUAUGCCCACUUGAUGGACUUUAUUAUGAUUUCGAAAAUUUACGAAAUUUAUUUUUUAGAAGUUUCAAAUACUCUAGAUCAUAUUUAAUGAAGUGGAUCGUCGAUUCGGAAGCUCUAUCAUUGAAAACAACUUAUGAGUAUGAGGGCUCCAAUACUCAUAAUAGUAUAGUAGCCACGGCCUAUAUAUAUAUAUAUAUAUAGAGAGAGAGAGAGAGAGAGAGAGAGAGAGAGAGAGAGAGAGAGAGAGAGAGCAGGACUGCUGUGCUCUUAGGAGCACGGAGGCCUCCGUGCUCCUGAGCCGUUUUCGAUGAUGAAAUUUUCGAAUUGACGAUCGGUUCCGAAAGACUUGAUCUAGCGCAUUUGAAGUUUCUCGAAAAUAAUUUUUGCGAUUUUUUGAUUUCAUUUAUCUAGUGAUCAAAAGGAUUCAAAAUUCAUAAUUUUUAAUGGUUGAUAUCUGUCAUUUUCAAAUUUAACGGUGUAGAAGUAUUCAAAUCAGAUGAAAUUUUGAUACAAAAUUUUUUAUACUAUUUACAACAAGAUCAAUAUUUCUGAUCCAAAAUUUUGGUGCUAUAUCACCACUUUUUAUAGGAUUUUUAUUUUCAGCCGUUAAAAAUUAUUGAUUUUGAAUCAUUUCGAUUGCUAGGUAAAUGAUAUUGAAAAAUCGCAAAAAUUAUUUUCUAGAAACUUCAAAUAUGCUAGAUCAAGUUUAACGGAGCCGAUCGUCGAUUCGCAGACUCCAUCAUCGAAAACGGCUCAGGAGCACGGAGGCCUCCGUGCUCCUGAGAGCACAGCAGCCUAGCACUCUCUCUCUCUCUCUCUCUCUCUCUCUCUCUCUCUAUAUAUAUAUAUAUAUAUAUAUGAUAUGAACUAAGUUAUUUGAAUUAGCACAAAUUUCUGUGCUUUGACAUCUAGAAUCUUAAUUUUCACUUUAUUUCAAAAGAAAAAAUUGCAUAAGUUUUAAUUUCAUACAACAAAAGAAGUUCCACUUAUUGCUCUAGGUUUUCUAUCUUAAUUUUUUAUAUAAAUAGGCUAUUAAAUUAAAUAGCAAAAUAUAUGUUCUACAAAUUACAAUAAACUAUCUUAUUUUACAAACCACAUAGUAAUAAAAUAAUAUAUUUUACUAUGUAUUUUAAUAUUUUAAAAUAAAUGUUAUCAUUCUAAAAUACUUUUUUAAAGAAUUUUGAAGUUAAGGGCAAAAUGGGCAACCACAUUCAUGACAAUUUAAACACUGUAGCAUUCUGAAAGAGACGGAAAUCAGUAGUAAGGAUAUAUUUGAAAGAUAAUAAGUAUUUGUAGGCGUAUUUGUGAUAUAAUUAAAUUUAUAGGGACAUCUAUGAUAUUUUUGAAGUUUAGAAGGGCGUGAAUAAAAUUGACUCAAAAUAAUAUGUGUUAUUUGGAGAACAAGAGACAUUGUGAUAUAAGUUAGAAUAAUAGUAAAUUUAUAUUUGAAUGUAUUUAGAGAGUAAAACUAUACGUAGACCGCUCACUUUGAAGAGAUCUAUUAAUUUGAGACUUAAAAAAAUAAUAAUAAUUUAAAUAAAAAAUCUUUUAUAUUUUUAAUACUCUCAAAAUUGAUAGUUCACGAAUUUUUUUUUUCAACUUAUAUACUUUGUUGUACAACUUAUAACUAACUUAAUCUGCAAACUUAUUUUUACAAAGCUUUACAAUUGAAUUCAACAGUAAUUCUAAAUAGUUGGAUCCCUUCGAGACAAUUAUGGCAAAGUACAGUACUAAUUAAUUAAUUUUUUACGUAGAGUGUUCACGAUAUAUGAGAUAAAAAACAAAGGGUCUUUUUGUUAAAAGAAGUCUUUAUUUUUACUGUAAUGCCCUAUUUGGAUACAUAAUAAAAAAGUUUCAUGGAGUUUAGCUAUAUUCUGUAAUUUUGGCUUGAAAGAAAUAGAAAAUUUGGUAACUAUAAAAAAUUUCACAGAUUUAAUUUUAAACUGUUUGGACAUAUAUCAUAUCAUUCCACAAAAACUCCAACAAUUAAAACUUUAUGUAAAUUUAAAAUUUAACUAUUUAUGAUGGCUCGCUUCUAGUUUGGCACUUUUUUGUGUAGUGAAUUUGAUGGCUUUAUUUGCACAAUAAGAAAAUUGAAUUUGAUUUGAAUUUAGAAUAUACUGUUUUGAUUUGAAGUUAAAUAAUAUAAAAUAAUUGUUUUUCUUCAAAAACUUCAACUACCAUAUAUUAGUAUUUUUAAUAGAGAAAUGAUUCGGUACCUUUUAAAAAAAAAAAAAAAAGAUCUUAACCGUUGAUUAAUAGAGGGUAAAAAUGUAAUUUUAAUACUUAGCAUGUAAAAGGAUUAUUAUAUUCAAGGUUAGUUUGGUAAUUAAACAAUAUAACAUUUAAAGAAACUUUUAAUUGAGUUCCUAAAUUUACGCAUUAAUUUGCACUAAUUUAAGAAAUUAAUUGAUUAGCCAAAGUUAUGCAUUAAUUAGGCAAUUUAGGCAUCUACUUUAAAUGUUUUAGUGUUUCUAAAAUUAUGCAUUAAUUUAUAUUAUAGGAAUUUUAGAAAUAGUUUUAUUUCUAAAUACAAUGAAUUUAAAUUUUAAAUAUUAAAUAUUUAAAAUUUAAAAGUGUAAUUAAAAUUAGAGGAAUUUUAUAUUACUAUUUAAAAAAAAUUUAAUGUUGGUAAAUAUUUUAAUUCAACAUAUUUAAUAUGUUUAAGAAACUUUUAAACUCCUAUAAUUUAGACAUUAAUUUUGUAUCAUUUAUUUAAAAAAUUUUGAAUGUAGGUUAAAAUAUUUAUAAUUUAAAUGUAUUUAAUAAGUUAAAAAAAAUUUAGAAUUGUUCUACUUUAGAUAUUAAUUUUGUAUGACUAUUUAAAAACAUUUGUAAUGUUGGUAAAUAUUUAAAUUUAACAUAUUUAAUACGUUUAACAAAAUUAGGAAUUCAUCUUAAUCAUUAAUUUUGUUUACUAAUUUAAAAAAUUAAAUGUGGGCAAAUAUUUAAAUUCAACAUAUUUAAUAUAUUUAAAAAAAUUUAAGAAUUUUUCUAAUUUAGAUAGUAUUAUCACUAUUUAAAAAAUUUAAUGUAGAUAAUUGAUUAGAAAUAUAGGGUAAGGAUAUAAUUCAAAUUUAUUUGUAGUAUACUAGUAUCCCUACACUUAGUAUAUAUAUAUAAGUGUGUGUGUGAGGGUACGUGUGUGUGUGUGUGUGAGUGCACAUGUGUGAGUUUGUGUAAUGCCAUGUGGCAUCACCUCCCCCCCCCUCUUUUAUGCAUGCAGGGAAGAGAGAGAGAGGAGUUUAUCUCCUCUCUUCUCUCCUUUUCUCUUUCGUUCGGCCGUACCAAGGAAGCACGCGAGGGACGCCGCCGCGGAGCCGAUUUCGCCGUCGACGUCGCACCGCAGAGCCGUUCGAACCUACGGUUGCUGCCGUUGCAUCGUGAGGAGGCCGGGCGAGCGUGGAUCUUCGCCGUUCUUGACGUCGCGCCAGUGCUAGUCGCCGUCGAGGUGGGUGUUCCAUAGAAUUGCUUCCUAAUUUCCAAGCUUUUUCAAUUUCGAGCUAGUUGCUGUCCCUGCAGAUUUCCAGCGUCGACCGUUGGCGUUUCGGCUCGUACUCGACGUAGGAGCGUCGGAUUUCGACGAGGCUUGAUUCGCUGGAUUAAGGACUUCGAGAGGAAUCCACGAAGCCCUUACUUGCCAGAUUUCGUUGAGGUUAGAUUGGUCGAAUCCGUGCUGUACCUGACUGCUGCGAAUUUUGGGACUGAAACGGUGAUUUGUGCUUUGUAGAGCGUGGUGUUAGCUCGACUCCCGGAUUUGGAGGGUGUAGAUCGACCAGCAGGUGGUGCUGCAGCUGUGAGGGUGUUUUGCUGCCAGAAUUAGCGACUAAGGUGGGUUUACAUCGGUUUAUUCCUAAGUGUAGUAAUAGUCGACAUGUAUGAUUUUCUGUUCGGUAAAUCAUAUUGUAGUUCGUUUUUCAUAAUGAUAUCCUGGAUAAAUGCUGCAUAUAUAACCUGAUUAUUACCUUUUAAAUAUACAUGUUGGACUGGGUUUAAACUUAGGAGAAAACGCGAUUGGAAUCGACAUAUGUAUUAACUGCCUGAUUUAGCUCUAGGAGCCGUUAUAGAAUUGUACUGUCGCAGCAUACUGUAGACGAGUACUUCAGGUAGUUUAGAAUACAUUUACGCUCGUGCUGGUAUGCCGAGUGAAUUUUUCUGAGGUCGUUUAGACUGUUUCGUACUAGUGGGCGCCGUCGGGACUGACGGUGGGCCCGGUUCGCCGUUUUGGCGUCGGAUUGUGCCGAGGGCACGUUGUUUGUUGGUUGUUAGACCAGUUUGAGUCGAUUACUUGACUUUGGCUAGUUGGAGCCUGAUUGAGCUCGACAGAGAUACGCUGCAUACUCGGUUGGGUAGCUCCCACGAGUGCCACUCCGGAGGCGGGCGCGGUGCUUUUGCGUUGGUGUCGCUCAUGCCAGUUGGACUUGCUCUCCACGGACCAGCUAGUGUGGAUAGAGCCUGAUAGUCGCAACGGGGCAGGGACGGGUGUGUUCACAGUCCCAGGGACGGGUAUGUUUACAGUCCCAAUUGGAUUGGGUCAGAUUUGACAUUUCCUACAGUCGGUUAAUGUAGAGCAUGAUAGUGUAGUGGAUGAUAGCGAUAGAGUGUACUUCCUGCUUUUCCUUCUAUCCUUGCUCCCUUCUGUAGACUUAGUGGGUGACCGAUGUCGUUUUGGGCGGUACCCACUGAGGACUACUUGUUUUUACAGUAGUUCUCACGCCCAGUUGUUACCUAUGUUUUGCAGAGCCACAGGUUUCGGCUACUGCGCCUUCCGCGGAUCAGGAUCGAGGCAAGGGCGUCGCGAGGUAGAGCCCUACCCGACUGACAGAGCUAGAGGCACCCCCCUACUGCAGGUAGUUGCUAUUUUAGAGUUUAUGUACAUAGUUGUUUAACUCGCCGGUGCGAGUAGCUUUGUAUUUUGGAUUUGGACUAUAUAUAUGAAACUCAGUUGUUUAGCUUUGUAUAUUGAGCAGCUCUAUGCUACUGUUUGUAGUAUUGUAUAUUUACAGGUACUUUUGACGCUUCGUAUACAGGGGAAAUUCCUUGUAUACGGCGGAUUUGUCGGCGUGCCCGGGGAACGAGACAUCCGGGGCGUGACAUUAUUUUUAUAAUAGAAUUGUAUAGACAAAAUUAAUUCAAAUUUUGGUAGUAAAAAUUGAUUUUUAAAAAUAAUAAAAUCAUGUAUUGUAAUUUAAAAUAUAAGCCGAAAACAAAAUAAAUUUAAAGUUUAGAACCUAAAAAGUAUAGAGAAAUCUUCAAUAAAUCUAAAUAAUAUAGUACAAUUUAAACUUAUCAAUAAAUAAAUUUAUACUGUAUAAUUCAAAUUUUAAGUUAAUAAUGCCACACACCUUUUCCGUCAGAAUAUUGUUUUCUGAUCCAUUAGCCAUCGCAAAUUUCAAUAAGUUAUUACUAUCAAAACUAAACAAAAUUAAUAUCCUACAAUAUGAUAAAAUUUGAAAAUUCUCAGAUCGAACUAGAAAAAAAUUAACUAACAAAUUAAAUCACAAAAUAAUCUAAAUUUCAUUCUUAUUUUAUUAAAAAAAGAUUUAGAAAGCAAUAGAUAUGGAAAUAAAUUUUAAUACAUAGUUUCUUAAAAUUAAAUUGAUUUGCAAUAUUAAACAAAUAAACAAAGGGAAAAAAAAAUUAAAAGAUCAUAUUGUCAAAUCAUUUGAAAUUUUUCUUAUAUGAAAUGUCAAAUUAUGAAAGGAAAGAUAGAGAGAGAAAAAGGAAACAAAGAAAAAAUACAAAUUUUGAGGUAAAAUAUAGUAAAGGUAAAAUAACUAAAUUACUCAUAUAUUAAAAGUCAAAAAUGCCCUUUUUUGAGGUACCUGAUAACCGGUACCUCUCCCAAAGUGAUCUGCUAUUGCAGGUCACAAUUUAAAAAAAACUAAAUCUGAGUCGUUGAAUACGCAUGAAUGAACGGUAAUAAAAAAAAAAAAAAGUAUAGAAGCAUUACUCUUUUUAAUAUUAAUAUUCAACAAUCUCAAUUACCUAUUUGCAUUAAAAAAAAAUUCCAUUUAUCUCAUAAAGGCCAAAAAAAUAAAAUGGAAUGAUUAUUAAAUUUAAAUUGGAUAAAGAAAGUAGCAGAAUACAUAAGUGAAUUUGAUAGUUUUAUUUGCGAGAGUAAAAAAUUAUGAUGCAGGUGAAACUGCAAGAGCUUUUUUUUUUUUCCAAGUUGGGCCCACAAUCCGUAUAAUCGUAUAACACUAAAACAAAUUUACUAAAUUCAAAGUCAUAAAUACAAGCAGAAUUCAUUUGCCUUUGUCGUAGAAUUUAUUUUUCAAAUAAAUGAAGAAAAUAGCAUGCUACAUUUAUCUUAGAAAAAAUAUAUAUAAACUUGCAAAGAAUGGACGUUAGUGACGCGCAAACAUCAACACAUACAUUUUCUUUUAUAUAUAUAUAUAUAUAUAUAUAUAUAUAGAGUGAGGCUACUAUGCUAUCGAAAGCACGGAGCCUUCCGUGCUUGCAGCUCGUUUUCGAUGUUGCGACUUUCGAAUCGUCGAUCGGCUCUGUUAAACUUGAUCUAGAUUAUUUGAAGUACCUAGAAAAUAAAUUUUAUGAUUUUACGAUAUCAUUUGCCUAGUGAACGAAGGGGCUCAAAAUCAACGGCUGAAAAUAAAAAUCUUACAAAAUGUAAUAAUAUGACAUUAAAAUUUUAAAUCAAAGAUAUUGAUCUUGUUUUAUAUAGUAUAAANNNNNNNNNNNNNNNNNNNNNNNNNAACAUCGAAAAUAAAGUGGAAGCACGGAGCCCUCCGUGCUUCCAUAAGCAUCCUAGCCGCACUCUCUCUCUCACUCUCUCUCUCUCUCUCUCUCUCUCUCUCUCUCUCUCUAUAUAUAUAUAUAUAUAUAUAUAUAUAGGCUGGGGCUACUAUACUCUUAUGAGUAUAGACCCUCUUGUACUUAUAAAUUUUUAACCGUUGAUUGAUAGGAUAUGUGGUUAGGAUGAUGGUGGUCCCCACUUAGAAUAAUAGUAGUUCCCUAGGGUUGAGUAGGUAGUUGGUUGAAUAGUAUGAUUUAACAGGUGAAAAUGAUCAAUGGAAUAAAUCUAAUGGUCAAAAACUUAUGAGUAUAAAAGAGCCAAUACUCAUAAAAGUAUAGUAGCCGGACUCUCUCUCUCUCUCUCUCUCUCUCUCUCUCUCUAUAUAUAGGGUCCGGCUACUAUACUAUUAUGAGUACGAUCGCCCUCGUACUCAUAAGUUGUUUUUGAUGAUAGAGCUUCCGAAUCGACGAUCCACACUGUUAAACAUUAUUUACAGCAUUUAAAACUUCUAGAAAUCAAAUUUUAUAAUUUUUCGACAUUAUUUAUCUUAUGAUCAAGAGAUCACAAAUUCGACAAUUUUUAAUGGCCAGUAUGGAAUACUUGCUAGUUUAACGGUGUAAAAGAAUCGAAAUUUGUUGAAUUUUUGAUAGAAAGUUCUAUUCACUACAUAGAUAAAGAUCAAUAACUCCGAUUUUGAAUUGAAGGAUCCGAUCAUCCUUUUUUAGGACGUCGUUCGAUUUUGACCGUUCAUUUUGUGCCCACUUGAUGGAUUUUAUUAUGAUUUCAAAAAUUUACGAAAUUUAUUUUCUAGAAGUUUCAAAUACUCUAGAUCAUAUUUAACGGAGUGGAUCGUCGAUUCGGAAGCUCCAUCAUUGAAAACAACUUAUGAGUACGAGGGNNNNNNNNNNNNNNNNNNNNNNNNNNNNNNNNNNNNNNNNNNNNNNNNNNNNNNNNNNNNNNNNNNNNNNNNNNNNNNNNNNNNNNNNNNNNNNNNNNNNNNNNNNNNNNNNNNNNNNNNNNNNNNNNNNNNNNNNNNNNNNNNNNNNNNNNNNNNNNNNNNNNNNNNNNNNNNNNNNNNNNNNNNNNNNNNNNNNNNNNNNNNNNNNNNNNNNNNNNNNNNNNNNNNNNNNNNNNNNNNNNNNNNNNNNNNNNNNNNNNNNNNNNNNNNNNNNNNNNNNNNNNNNNNNNNNNNNNNNNNNNNNNNNNNNNNNNNNNNNNNNNNNNNNNNNNNNNNNNNNNNNNNNNNNNNNNNNNNNNNNNNNNNNNNNNNNNNNNNNNNNNNNNNNNNNNNNNNNNNNNNNNNNNNNNNNNNNNNNNNNNNNNNNNNNNNNNNNNNNNNNNNNNNNNNNNNNNNNNNNNNNNNNNNNNNNNNNNNNNNNNNNNNNNNNNNNNNNNNNNNNNNNNNNNNNNNNNNNNNNNNNNNNNNNNNNNNNNNNNNNNNNNNNNNNNNNNNNNNNNNNNNNNNNNNNNNNNNNNNNNNNNNNNNNNNNNNNNNNNNNNNNNNNNNNNNNNNNNNNNNNNNNNNNNNNNNNNNNNNNNNNNNNNNNNNNNNNNNNNNNNNNNNNNNNNNNNNNNNNNNNNNNNNNNNNNNNNNNNNNNNNNNNNNNNNNNNNNNNNNNNNNNNNNNNNNNNNNNNNNNNNNNNNNNNNNNUAUUCUAAUAUCCCACUUUAGCUCCUUAAGAGAAGAGGCUAACAAUAUGGGCCUUUGGAUCAAAAGAACCAUGAUCCAAAAGCUUACAAAUAGGGCCCCACAUACAUGAUAAGAAAAUAUAGAAAGAGGAGAUUUUGACUUCACCAAAUUACAUAGCCCAAAUAGCAAGACCUAAAUAAUAAAUAGGCCCAAUAUAAUUAGCUCAACAAUAUAUAUAUAUAUAAUGGGCAUCGUAUUGAUUGCCAAACCUCUUUUUAUCUGGAGACAAAUAUAAGUAGUGCAAUAUUCCAAAACAAAAGGCUAUGGCAGUUCUGCAGUACGUUUGAUGAAGUCUAGAUCAUCAUCGUGCAUAGGAUUCCACCAGUAGAAGUCCAGACAUUUUACCGAUGUUAAGCGCUCCGCGAGAAUUUGUGGAACAGAUGGUCGAGCAGGGUCAUAGGAAUUUGCCAGAUGCACAAUCUUGAGACUUGGAAAUGUGCCGCUUGGGAGAGAAGAUAGCAGCAGCUCACUGUUAGCGCACAAAUACAGCUGCUCAACGGACGGAAAAGAUGAAGGCAGUUCUUUCAGUUUUCGGCAGUCUAGUAGCCUCAACUCCCACAGACGAGGGAAAGAUCGUCGCCCAGCUGAUGCUUCACACCACUCCUCCAACUCAGGCAUGUGUUCUAGACUCAAGUUCUCCAAUACUGGGAACGCACCAUCACCUGCACCAUAGAACUCUGAGCCCAGGCUCUUGACUGCUAGGAGAGAAGCGAGAUUCAAAACUUUAAGAGCAGGCAACUGCCCGAGCAGCGGAAGAGACUUGACGGCGGGAAGCUUCUUGAGAGAAAGGGUCUCAAGGUUAUGCAAUUGACUUAUUCUUGGGAGGGUCUCACAUCUGAAACAAGAAGAUAAGUAAAUCUCAACAAGAUUUGGAAAACUCGACUCCAACCAUUUUGGAAAAAUUUUGCCCGGGUAGCAAAAUAUCGCCAAUAGGGUCAAAUUUUCGUGCGGUUGGAGGCCGUUGAGGACUUCUUCGGCUACUGCAAGUGCAUUGAUCAGACCUUGCCUGCUUCUUCCUUCUACGUUAGUGCGCGUGCUGUAGGCUUCCAUUUUCUUCUUGUAAGUAUCCAGGUCCCAUGCCAACCCUACUGAGUGAAGACCAUCCAUUUCUAUUAAGUUAGCCUCUCUAGCCUGUUGGAAAUUCUUCACAUUUUCUAGGUUAGCAAUCCAUAGGAAGCCUUCAAGAUUAAGUUUGUUGAGCUCCUUGAGUCCACACUCGCUCUUUUCGCAAAGCUCAAAGAGCAGUAGGUCUCGAAAGUAGCUUGGCUGUACAAGUCCAGCGGGUAUGCACGUUAAUUUAUGGCAAUGACCUGUGCAAAGACAUGUGAGGCUUUCCGUGUUCUGCUUGUUCUCUGGGAGCUCGCGCAGAAAGUAACAGCUUGUUAGAUUAAUUGAUCGAAGAUCUGAGAGGCAACAUACGCUUUCGGGCAACUUUUUUAUCCUGGUAUAUGCGAGGUUUAAGGUUUGCAAACUCUUUAAAUGACCAAUGGAAGUUGGUAGGGAAACAAAGCUUGUGCAGCGUUCAAGAUUCAGUAUUACUAGAUUGAAGAGAUUACCAAUGGAGUCUGGUACUUCCUUUAAAAAUCGACAUCCUUGCAGGUCCAAAACUUGUAGAUUCUGCAAAAAACCAAUAGAUUGUGGCAGUGUUUGAAGGUUUGUGUAUGACAAAUUGAGAUACCUUAGGUGUCUAAGAUUACUAAUUGAAUUUGGCAAUUCUUUGAUGGGGUAGUAUUUCAGAUAAAGUGCUCUUAGAAGCUUCAUACUAGAGAAAACAGUUUGAAGAAUCUUCAGCAUCAUAUCUUCCUUUCCUAUCUGCACAAAAGGAUGUGAUUUGAGGAAGUAAAAGGUUCUCAACUUUUUGGCUUUAUUGAGAAUCUCUAAAACCGAUGGUAUUAUCUCUAUUGUGUAGAUAAAUGAUGAAUAACGUGUCAUAGGAUAUAUGUCUCUUUUAUUGACAGCUUUGGCGAUGCUUGAACAUUCUUCACCUGAAACAAAUUGAGCGAGAUCAUGAACAAGAUCAUGAAUCAUGAUGGCACCUAUCAUAUGCCUAAGUUCCUCGAAAAGUGAUCUCGAUAAUAGCUCUUCGAUAUAUUGGUAACCCACACCUUCCAAUUCCACACUCUCGUUGAGUGAUCGGAUAAAUCCUUCAGCAAUCCAAAGUUGGAUCAGGUCCUUAGUUAUUAUAAUAGUAUCCUUUGGAAAUAUGGAGCAAUAUGCAAAGCAUUGCUUCAGGUGCGACGGCAAAUGAUUAUAACUCAACCUUAGAGCUGGUAAAAUCCUAUUCGCUUCUAACUUCCAACUAUCAUUGUCCCGAACAGCCAACCACUCACUUUCCCUUCUCUUAGAGCGCAUCAAGCUACCUAAAACCUUUGCUGCCAGCGGAACACCGCCACAUUUUUUCACAAUCUCCUUUCCAAUGGUAACUAAGUUUGUCGUCUUCUCACAAGCACCUAUCCCAAAUGCUCUUCUCUCAAACAACAACCAACAAUCAUCCUCGGAUAAAGUCUUCAAAAAGUGUGGCUCCACCGUCGCCAUUAGUGAGGCAACUCUACUAUUACGGGUGGUCACUAUAAGUUUACUUGCGGUGGCCCCGGUAGUUAACAAAGUCCUAAAUAUGUCCCAUUUCUCGUAAUUUUCAUUCCAUACAUCAUCCAGCACGAGCAAAAAUAUUUUUUUCUCAAGCUCCUGUUUUAGUUUAGACUGCAUCGACGCCAUGCUUGUGAGAUCACAAGCAUUUCCCGUUGUAUGCUCUAUUAUUGAUCUGACAAGCCUUUUAUGGUCAAAAUCAUCAGAAACACAUACCCAUAUUCUCUUCUCAAAGUGAUCGCUUAUUUGUCGAUCAUUAUAGACUAAUUGCGCGAGUGUCGUCUUACCAAGCCCUCCCAUCCCAACAAUUGUUAUGAUCCCGAGAUCACCUCCAGAUGUGUCCACAAGAAAUUCGACGAUCUUUUUCUUAUCUUCUUCCCUACCAUAAACUUCCGAUUCAAUUACGAAGGAGCUAGUUUCUUCUCUCACCACAUUCUCUUGCCUACAGCAUGUUACUACACAUCUCUCUUGCAAAUGAAACUUAGAUCUCUCCUCUGCAAGCUCAUCUAGUCUCUCCCUUAUUUCCCUUAUCUCCCUAGCUAUCUUUAACUGAAACAUAACUGAGUUAGGCAAUGACAGCACUUUACUUACCGUUCCCUUCAUCCAGCUAGUGGUACUGCUUUCCGGAUCAGUUAAACUCCUCUUUCGGUUCCUGGUGAAGUCCUCGUCUAGCAGAUCGUCGAUAUCGUAGGCCACAUCUUUGAGGCGUCUCAGCCACCCUCUGAGGGCCUUCUCCUGCACUUGCCUCUCCUCCGCAUCCUCAAGCACGUCGCGGAUGAUGGAGAGGGUGCCCUCCAGCUUCUUCAGCUCGGCGCCGAUGUCCCUCAGCCAACCAAACUCGUCGACUAUUUGGUUCGGCAGCCUGUCGAGCAAGGAGCUGAGGAUGCCGGAAGCCACAACGUCGGUCAUUGUGUUUUGAUGGUUCGAUAAUCCUUUCCGUGGUCAAUAAAUUGCUUCUCCGCGGUUAUGUGGACUACCAACUUGAUGGAAAUGUGAAGGAAUAUACGAGGUGGCAUUGGUAGAAUUUUUUUUUUUUUUUUUUUUAAUUAAACAGGGAUCCACCCUAUUUGGUAAAGGAGGUACAAGCAGAGUAGACAAAAAGGAGUCUUGUUCAUUGGAGAACAAGGAGAGUACAAAUGAGAAAGAGUGGAAGAAACAGAGUAGUCGAACAAGGAGAGUACACUGUUCGGCAUUGGUAGAAAUUUAGGACCACUGCUUUUAAGGAUGUUUUCGAGAAGUUCACACUGACAGUUGACUUGACCUUGUUAGUCCCAUAUAGACGGUAACAGUUGACUUGAUCUUGUGAGUCCCAUAUAGAUGGUACACACUAUGUAUAAGCCAUAGAAUUAGGGGUGGCACUUCGGCCAUUAUUUGCGAGUCAGCUAGUGUUUGGUUUGAGAUGAGUUUGAGAUCGAAUUGCUCAUUUAGUAAACGAGCCGAACACAAGUUGAAUUUUUCAACUUGUAUAAUGAAUGACUUGAACACGAGAUGGGGUCAACUCGUUCGUGAUCGGCUCGAUAACAGCUCGAAUGCAUAUAUUUUAUAUUUAUAUAAUAUAUAUAAUUUUAUAUUUGUAUAUAUAAAUAAAUAAUUAUAUAUAUAUAAUACAUAUUUUUAUUAUUUGAUUUUUAGCUCAACCUAAAUAUAAAACACAAUUUAAUUAUAAAAUUUCAACCAUUAGAUCAAAGUCUAAUAGAUAAGACAUCAUAAAUUUAUUUUCUAUAUAUAUAUUCUUUCUAAUUUUUUUAUUUAUUGUUUAUGAGCCGGCUCGUGUUUGGCUCGUUAAUAGACGAGUCGAACACGAACUGAAUUUUUCAGUCCUAUACUGUAACGAAUCAACUCAUGUUUGGCUCAUUUAUGAAACGAGUCGAACACGAGCCCGCCUCAGCUCGCCCAUAUUCGGCUCGCCAACAGCCCCUAUAUAGAAUCUACGGACAAGUUAAUUACACAAUAUUGACUCACAUGGUAUCACAUUCUCUGCUUCAGAGUGCUUCAAAACAUUUUGGAAAUUAUAUAGAGUAUAUAUCUUAUAUUCAUAAGUUUUUGGAUUAAAAAAAUGCUCUCGACUUUCUGCUAAAAAUAAAUUGAUCAGACAUAGUUAAUGGAUCCUAAGUAUCUAUAGCGUAGAGGCCGACCGUUCCUAGAUCAAGUGGCAAAGGAUUUGGUGGUUGGUAUCCGAGGUCUUAAAUUCGAAUCUUAGUUGAUUCAUAUUUUCAGCUAAGUUUAUUUCUAAAUAAAAUAAACAAAACGAGUAGAGUACUGCCUAUCUCUUAAAAAAAAACUAUCUAUAGCGUAGAGUGUUUAUCUUAUACCUAGAUUUUUGGCGUACAAAUAACAUUACUUAAAAUUUUUUAGGUUAAUUGCAACCAUGGCCCUUGGCCUUCGUUUAAAUACUUAUUUUGGUCCCUAAUAUUGUUUUUGUUUACAAUUAGAUUCUUAACUUUUAUGGUUAAUUGCACCCUUAGGUUCCGUUUGGUUCGAAAAUUAGUUGGAAUUAGUUAUAUCAGUGAUAGGUAUAAGUAUGAGUUUUUGUAAGGAUAAGGUUUUUUUUUUUUGGAUGAAAAUGUGAGUAUAAACUGGAACUAGAAAAAUUGUGUUUGGAUGAUUAUUGAGAAUAAGAGGAAUAGUUGGUAGUCAUAAAUAGAAAAUAAUGAUAUUACUCCUAUAAUUAAAUUUAAAAUUUAAAAUUUUAAACUUAUAAUUUUAAAUUGAAAAUUUUAAUUUUUAAAUUUAAUUAUUUUAAUUCACUCUGAAAUUAAACAUUAAAAAUUUUUAAUUUCAAAAUUAAUUUAAAUAUCAAAUUUUAAAUUUAAUACGGCAAAUUUAAAUUGUGAAAGAUAUAACGAAUAUCAAAUUUAAAUUUAAAAACUAAAAUUAUCACAUUUAAAUUUAAAUUUAAAAAUAUCAAUUUAAAAUUUAAAUUUUAAAAUUUAAUUUUAAUUUAAUAAAUUUUAAAUUUCUGAAGAUUAUAAUUUUUACAACAUUUAAAUUUAGAUUUAAAAUAUAUAUAUCUUCUCUCUUCUACCCGGCAGAUAUUCGCACCACUGGGGUGGGAACAGUUCGUUCCCAACCCAUGAACCGGUAGGGUACUUGGGUGGAAAUAACUUGUUACCACACCCACCCAAAUAGUGUGUUUGAGUAGCAAAAGCGGGAUCAAUCCUAAUCUAAUGCUGUGUUUGAAUUGGGUAAAACAAGAGGGGAGGAUAAGGGGGUUAUCCGCCCUCUUGUACCGAACACCAUUUGGGUGAGUAGAGCGAACAUACUAUUCCACCAGGGGUGGGAACACCCCCGGAUAGAGAGAGAGAGAGAGAGUAGAGAGAGUAAUUUAUUUUAAAUUUAAAUUUAAAUUUUUUAAAAUUUAUAUUUUAAAUUUUAUUAAUUUAUAAUUUAAAAUAAAUUUGAUGUUAAAUUUUAAUUUUGAUAUUUUUAAAUUUAAAAUUUUAAUUUGAUAUUUUUAGUUUUUAAAUUUUAAAUUUGAUAUUUUAUAUCUUUCAAAUUUAAAUUUGGUCUUAAAUUUAAAAUUUGAUAUUUAAAAUUAAAAUUUUGAAAAUUAAAAUUUUAAAUUUUAAUUUCAGAUUUUAAAAUUUAAAAGUUAAAAUUUUUAAUUUAAAAUUAUAAGUUUAAAAUUUAAAAAUUUAAAUUCAAUUAUAGGGGUAAUAUUAUUAUUUACUAUUUAUAACCAUCAACUAUUUCUCUUAUUCUCAAUAACCAUCCAAACACAAUUUUUUUAGUUCCGGCUUAUACUCAUAUUUUUAUCCAAACAAAAAAAUACUUUUGUUCUUAUAAAAAUUCAUACUUGUACCUAUCCCCGUUAUAACUAGUUCCUACUAAUUUUCGAACCAAAUGAAGUUAGUCUCUAAACUUUACAAAUUUUUUCACUUUGGUAACUUGGUUUGUAAUUAAUCUCUUCUCCUAUAUGCAUAUCCCAUCAUAUCAAGCCUAAUUUUACCCCUCUCGAUAUCGUCUUCUAUACCUACAGCGAUCUCGACCUUGUAUAAGACAUUAAUUAUGUUUUUCAGAGUAUUCAAUAGCUUGAUGAAGUUAGUGAAACUACCUAAUUCUUCCAAAUACUUAAAAAAGUUGGUGUUUAAAUUGAACAAAGUUAUUUGAUUAUUAUCGUGGUUUAUAUGAUGAGACAAAACAGACAUGUCUUAUUUUACCAGAAUUAAUAAGAAUUUUUAUAUGAUUGGACCUAACUGAAAUAAUAUACAAUUAUUCAGAUCGCAAAACAAAAAAGAUAGAGACCAAAAUUAAAAAAAAGAAAAAAGGUUGAGAGCCAAUUGUUCACAAUCUAAAUGAAUGAAGUCGUAGCAUGCUACCUAUUUUUCAAAAAAAAAAAAUCUUUUUUUGAGUGUACAAGUUCCAUUUCUCUUGCUCAUCUAUCAUGUUCAAACCUUAGUUAGUUAAUUCGCAUGUAAUACGCGAAUAAUUCGCGACUAAUUGGAAAAACGUUUAAAACGUCCCGUCUACGAAUUUUUUCGAAAAAAUUGGAAUAAAACGUGUUUUUUUUCCAUACUCAAAAUAUUUGCGAUCAAAACGGUAUUCGCGAAUUAUAUUCGGAAAAAUUCUGAUUUAGCGGCGGUGAAACGAUGAAAUUUUUCAAAAAAAAUUGGAUUGGGCUGCCGUGGAGAUGUAAUUUCUCGAACGGGCGUCGCACGACCACCGCUCCGCAGAUCCGUACAUCUUUCCCGAGCAGUCGGGCAAUUUUGCUUCUUCUAUUUUGAAGAAACCAUGGAGAUGCAGCAAGCGGACACGGAGCAAGCGAAGAAGAAAAGAGGUGGGACAAGGGCGACGAAAAUCACGGUGCACCGUGUUGGGAAGAAGGGUGGUCCCCGAGGACUCAGCCUCGUGGACCGCGUGGGGUGGACACACCGCGUUGGGAAAAAGCGCAGUCCACAAAGUUGAGUGCAGCCUCGUGGACGCGUGGGGUGGACGCACCGCGUUGGAAAAAAGCGUGGUCUAUAAGGCUCACUCAACCUCGUGAACUGUGUGGAGCACUCUCCCUUUGUGUUUAACUGUUUAUACUAGUAAAUUACCCGCGCGAUGCUGCGGAUAUAAAAUAUUUUAAUAAUAAAUUUUAAUUAAAAUAUUCAUAUUAUUUUAAUUUUUAAUUAUUAAUUAUAUAAAUUUAAAAAUAAUUUGAAUAAAAAGAAUGUAAAUUGGUUUAUGUGCUACAAAAUUUUUUGUAAGAACUUGCAAGUAACUAAAUAAUUUUAUAAAGAAAUAUAUAAGCAAAAAAUUAUUAAAAAAUUCAUAAGAAAAAAAGGUUGUUGGGAGAAGCUCUUUUAGUCUUCAACUCUUCAUACAUAGGAAAAGAAAAAUUUUCUAUAAGAUUCACUAUUCAAGGUUCUAUAAGGUUUCACCAUUUAAACUAAAAUAUAAUUUAAUAAAUAUAAUCUAUAUCAUAUAAAAAUACAUUUGUAAAAAAUAUUUGAUCAAAUUUUGUAUAAAUUUUAAUAAAUAUUUUAUUUAGUUAACCAAAAUUAAUCAUAAAAAGUUAAAAAAAACUAUAAAAAUCAAUUAAAAAAUUAAAUUUGAGCAGUCUAUUGCAAAGGGUCUUAAUAGUUGAGAGGGUCCUCACAUUUUUUUUGCCAAAACAUCUUUUGCUAAAAAUGUAUAGAAACUUCCUAAACUUUUAAUUUUUUAAUUAAGGUAAUUUUAUCAAAAAAUUUAUAAAUUUUGUUAAAUUCAUUAGUAAUUUCGUUAGAUUUAGAAUUUUAAUUUUUUUUGGUCAUUUUAAUGUAACUAAGCAUAAAAAUUACAGUAAGAAAUAAAACUUGAUUGGGUCUUAAUUCAAAAAAAUUAUAGUUGGGGGUUAUCUAUAUAUGUUUAUUUAUAUUAAAGGAAAUGAUACUAUUUGAUGCACCAAGUGUAUAAAUAAAUUUUGUGCACUUUAUUUUUGAAAAUCUGAUAUAAAAAUUUAAACUCUAGUAAAUUUUGAUAUAUAGACAUUUUAUAUAGAUAGGUCGCAUUUAUAAAAUUAUAUUUUAAUUUAAUAAUACUAAUUAUAAAAAGUUAGGAUUAAUAUAUGUAAUAUUUAUAGACCUAAUUAUAAAAAGUUAGGAUUAAUAUAUAUAAUAUUUAUAGACCUAAUUAUAAAAAGUUAGGAUUAAUAUAUGUAAUAUUUAUAGACUGGGUGCGGGCAAAGUUUUUCUAUAAAUAAAGAGUGGGUAGGGAAGAAAUCAUUCGGGUCUAUACUUGUAUUUAACAUCAUACUAAUAAAUCCAUAUUGCUGGAACUUAAAGCCUAUAAUAUUUUGUACAUAAACUUAUUAUAAAAUGUAAAUUAUAUUUAUUAAAUUAUAUUUAAUUUUAAAUUGAAAAAAUAGAUUUGAUGUAUAUUAUAUUUGUGUAGAUCGGGUGCAUGCAAUUUUUUUAAAGAGAGACAGAAGAGCUUUAGGAGGACACUUGUCACCUCCUAAGGGCCUUGAGGUGACCCAACUCUCCUUUAAUGGAGUAGUAAAGUAAUAGAAGUAAUAUAUAUAUAUAUAUAUAUAUAUAUAUAUAUAUAUAUAUAUAUAUAUAUAUAUAUAUAUAUAUAUACUAUGCUAUCGGAUGCAUUGAGGAUCUGAUGCUUCCAACUUUUUGACCAUUGAAUUAAAAAUUAUACGGUUGGGAUGAUUGCGGUCCUCUAGAGUUGAAUUGUAUCCCUAGGGUUGAGUUGUCCCCACAUGGUAAUAGUAUUAAUCCAAAAAUUAGAAAUGAUCAAAGGAGUUGAUCUAAGGGCCAAAAAAUCGAAAGCACCAGAUCCUCUAUGCUUCCGAUAGCAUCGCAGCUUUACUAUAUAAAUAGAGAGAGAGAGAGAGAGUGAGGCUACUAUGCUUCUGGAAGCAUAGAGCCUUUUGUACUUUCAGAUCGUUUUCGAUGUUGCGGUUUUCGAAUCGUCGAUCGGCUCUGUUAAACUUGAUCUAGAGUAUUUGAAGUACUUAGAAAAUAAAUUUUAUAAUUUUUCGAUAUCAUUUGCCUAGUGAUCGAAGGGACUCAAAUCAUUAAUUUUAAUGGCCGUGGUGAGCCGUUUGCAAGUUUAACGGCGUAGAAAUAUCCAAAUCACGUGAAAUUUUGAUAGAAAAUUCUUUAUACUAUAUAAAAUAAGAUCAAUAUCUUUGAACUAAAAUUUUAAUGUCAUAUUAUCACGUUUUAUAAGAUUUUUAUUUUCAGCUGUUGAUUUUGAACCCCUUAGUUCACUAGGCAAAUGAUAUUGAAAAAUUACAAAAUUUAUUUUCUAGAUACUUCAAAUACUCUAGAUCAAGUUUAAUGGAGCCGAUCGACGAUUCGAAAGUCGCAACAUCAAAAACGACCGUGCUUCUAGAAGCAUAGUAGCCGCACUCUCUCUCUCUCUCUCUCUCUAUAUAUAUAUAUAUAUAUGAGUCACAUUGCUAUACUCUUAUGAGUACGAUCGCUUCGUACUCAUAAGUCGUUUUCGAUGAUAGAGCUUCCGAAUCGGCGAUCCAUACCAUAAAACAUUAUCUAGAGCAUUUAAAACUUCUAAAAAUUAAAUUUCAUAAUUUUUCGACAUCAUUUACCUUACGAUCAAAAAGUCACAAAAUUGACAAUUUUUAACGACCGGUAUGGGAUACUUGCUAGUUUAACGGUGUAAAAGAAUCGAAAUAGGUUGAAUUUUUGAUAGAAAAUUUUAUUCACUAUCUAGAUAAAGAUGAAUAACUCCGAUCUUAAAUUGAAGAGUCCGAUCAUCUAUUUUUAGGACGUCGUUUAAUUUUGACCAUUCAUUUUAUGCCCGCUUGAUGGACUUUAUUAUGAUUUCGAAAAAUUACGAAAUUUAUUUUCUAAAAAUUUUGAAUACUCUAGAAUUUUUAACGGUGUCAGAUCAUCCAUUUUUAGGAUGUCGUUUAAUUUUGACCGUUCAUUUUAUGCCCGCUUGAUGAACUUUAUUAUAAUUUCGAAAAAUUACGAAAUUUAUUUUCUAAAAAUUUCAAAUGCUCUAGAUCAUUUUUAACAGCGUGAAUCGUCGAUUCGGAAGCUCUAUCAUCGAAAACAACUUAUGAGUACGCAGGGCUCUAUACUCGUAAGAGUAUAGUAGCCCUACUCUCUCUCUCUCUCUCUCUCUCUCUCUCUCUCUAUAUAUAUAUAUAUACACACACACACAUUAUUUUAUAUAUUAUUUUAUAUUAUUUUAUUUUUAUAUUUGUAAGAAUUAUAAUUAUUUAUGAUAAUAGCAUAAUUCUAAAGAAAAAUAAUAAUUUAGUAGACGAAUUUUUAUUUCUAAUUUUUAAAUAAUAAGAGUAAAAUUCUCGUAUAAAUCGCGUAUAUGAAGUAUUAACGAAUUCGAUUUUUAAACCGUAUUUUUUAACGAAUUUAAAAAUUAAGAUAUAAAUUUUAGUCGUAUUUUAUCCGUACCGAAUUUUUACCGUAUCCGAAUUAACUAACUAUGAUUCAAUCAGGAAAUAUGUA